GUAGUCAUAUGCUUGUCUCAAAGAUCAAGCCAUGCAUGUCUAAGUAUAAACGCUUUAUACUGUGAAACUGCGAAUGGCUCAUUAUAUCAGUAAUAGUUUAUUUGAUGGUCCCUUACUACUUAUAUACCUGUAGUGAUUCUAGAGCUAAUACAUGCACUGCAGUCCCACCUGCUUCGGCGGACGGGAUGUGUUUAUUAGAUCGAAACCAAUGCGGCGCAAGCCGGUGUUGUGGUGAAUCAUGAUAACUUUGCGAAUCGCACGCCCUCUGUGGCGGCGAUGUUUCAUUCAAGUUUCUGCCCUAUCAGCUUUGGAUGGUAGGGUAUUGGCCUACCAUGGCUUCAACGGGUAACGGGGAAU
rnacentral:rRNA from 1 species